rnacentral:rRNA from 1 species
UACGUAGGGCGCAAGCGUUGUCCGGAAUUAUUGGGCGUAAAGAGCUCGUAGGCGGUCUGUCACGUCUGCCGUGAAAACCCGAGGCUUAACCUCGUGGCUUGCGGUGGAUACGGGCAGACUAGAGGUAGGUAGGGGAGAACGGAAUUCCCGGUGUAGCGGUGGAAUGCGCAGAUAUCAGGAGGAACACCAAUGGCGAAGGCAGCUCGCUGGGACGGUACUGACGCUGAGGCGCGAAAGCGUGGGGAGCAAACAGG